GCCUGGGUGGUUAAGCCGGUUAAGCACCUGACUUCGACUCAGGUCAUGAUCUCAUAGUUCGUGAGUUCAAGCCCCACAUUGGGCU
rnacentral:tRNA from 1 species